GCCCCGCGCCCCGCCGCCCGCGGCGCCCCGCGGCGCCCCCCGGUCCCGCCCGCCAUGCCCGGCCCGGCCGCGGGCAGCAGGGCCCGGGUCUACGCCGAGGUGAACAGCCUGAGGAGCCGCGACUACUGGGACUACGAGGCUCACGUCCCGAGCUGGGGGAAUCAAGAUGAUUACCAACUGGUUCGGAAACUUGGUCGGGGGAAGUAUAGUGAAGUGUUUGAGGCCAUUAACAUCACCAACAAUGAGAGAGUGGUGGUAAAAAUUCUCAAGCCAGUGAAGAAAAAGAAGAUAAAACGAGAGGUUAAGAUUCUGGAGAACCUUCGUGGUGGAACAAAUAUCAUUAAGCUGAUUGACACUGUGAAGGACCCUGUGUCAAAGACACCAGCUUUGGUAUUUGAAUAUAUCAAUAAUACAGAUUUUAAGCAACUUUACCAGAUCCUGACAGACUUUGAUAUCCGGUUUUAUAUGUAUGAACUACUUAAAACAGCUCUGGAUUACUGCCACAGCAAGGGAAUCAUGCACAGGGAUGUGAAACCUCACAAUGUCAUGAUAGAUCACCAACAGAAAAAGCUGCGACUGAUAGACUGGGGUCUGGCAGAGUUCUACCAUCCUGCUCAGGAGUACAAUGUCCGCGUGGCCUCCAGGUACUUCAAGGGACCAGAGCUCCUUGUGGACUACCAGAUGUAUGAUUAUAGCUUGGACAUGUGGAGUUUGGGCUGUAUGUUAGCGAGCAUGAUCUUUCGAAAGGAACCCUUCUUCCACGGACAGGACAACUAUGACCAGCUUGUUCGCAUUGCCAAGGUCCUGGGGACAGAUGAGCUGUAUGGGUAUCUGAAGAAGUAUCACAUAGACCUAGACCCGCACUUCAACGAUAUCCUGGGACAACAUUCACGGAAACGCUGGGAAAACUUUAUACAUAGCGAGAACAGACACCUCGUCAGCCCCGAGGCCCUAGAUCUUCUGGACAAACUUCUGCGAUACGACCAUCAGCAGAGACUGACUGCCAAAGAGGCCAUGGAGCACCCGUACUUCUACCCCGUGGUGAAGGAGCAGUCCCAGCCCUGUGCGGACAACGCUGUACUUUCCAGUGGUCUCACGGCGGCCCGAUGAAGACUGGAAAGCGACGGCCUUGUAAGGAAGCCUCACCAUUUCCCAGCACAUCCCUGUGUGUGCACCUAUUUUAACGCAUCUCUGAAACAAAGACGUUUUGUUCACAACCAUAACUAAAGCUGGGAGGUCGGUCUUUAGACAGGUCAGCGGGGAGAGGGAGGAAAAAGGUUCUAUGAGACUUUAUUCAGGAAUGACCUAUUGGGCGAAGAAAAAAAAAUAUAUCCCCAUCCCACCCCCUUUUUGCCUCUUUUUAUCCCCAUGAGAAGUAAUUCCCCGCUGUAAUCAGGGUACUCUGCAUUUCUAAGCUCUGAUGGGUAAUACGUGAAUGUGAUGGCAAUGACAAGUCCCUCUCGCCUGCAGGUACAUGGGCAGGGCCACCCACAGCCCAGGCGGCGAGGGUCUUGGGGGAGGAAGUGGAGUUCCCAGAGUGAGUAGCAAAGCCUGGGAUCCAUGUGCCAGCCUUCACGUUAGCAAAGGAAGCUAGAUUUUGUUUUAAAAAGUAAAAAUAGUGCUGAUUUCAUUUGGGGGACUUGACAUUAACUUGAUUUGCAAGCAGUCCCCGCCCCCCAGCUGCAGAGCCGCGCCACAGCUAUGGGGACUCGCACAGCUAGGCUGGAGCUCGAGGGGUCUGCCACCACGUCACAUUAGGGUUUCUUUAUUAACUAUUUAAUAAUGCCAUACGUUUUUAUAAGGGUAGAUUGUUUGUUUGAAAGCAUCUGUUUACAUUCCAUAUUCCAAUAAAAUCAUAUUGGUAUUGGUAGCAGGUCCUAUCUCUAAAUGUAGAUUUCUAUUUUUGUCAUUUGGUUGGUGGGAACUUGAAAUACAAAUAAAACUCUUAUUUAUAGAGUUGAGCUUACAGAUUAAAAAAUAAGAUCCCAAAGCCAGGAAAUGAAUUCCGCUAAGGUUCUCCUACAUAUACUACCUGCCUGCAUUGCACAUUCUGUGUAUUAAUGUCUGCAUUUGUUCUGUCUGGAAAUGAAAGACAAGGCACGAGCUCUUGGCUGAACCUAGAUCACCGUGUCAGGCAGGAAAACUCUGGGAUUGUCAGAAGCCUUCUCACGUGCCCUCUGAGGCAACACGGAGCUGUUUAUUAUCAGGGAGAUGUGCCACUGUGUGUCUUUCCCGCCCCGCCCCGCCCCUUCGUCCCCACGCCCUCCUCCCACACCUUUGAGUUGCCUGUCACCCAGGCCGGGAGCCGAGAAGAGGGCUUGGUGAGGUAGUGACCAGUGGGGCCCCAGAGGCAGGACAGCAUCUGGAGCAGAGCCGGCGGGUCCCUUGUUCUCUCUCCUUUGCUCGUGACUCAGUCGGUGCAGACGCUCACCGGCCUGCCCUGGCUCUGCAGCCGCCGCUUGGACAGGAGCAGCGCUUCUUUUAUGCAGUUUCCUUGGCUCCCACCUGUCCUUUACCUGUCUUCAUGCCUUAGACAUGCGGCAGAACGGAGUUUAAAACGCCUACUCCUUUCUCGUCUGGCCUCAACCAGCUUGCUGGCUGCUGCCACUGUAGGUUUUAUUCCCUAAACAAGUGAGUCCAGUCCAGACCUUUUCUCUUAACCUAUGCCCAAACCAUGGUGUGUCCACAUGGACCUGGCUCCGCUGGUAUUUGAGAGCAUGUCCCCGGGUUAGGAGGUGGCCUUGGAGAGUUCUGAGAAAGAGGGGUGAGUGUGUGUGCGUGUGGGUGUGUGCCUGUGUGUGUGUGAGAGAGAGUGUCUAAUAUUUAGACUAAGCUAUGGUAGAUCUACCCACCCCCUAUCCUUUUCAGUUAGCUAUAUUUCUUAAUUCAUCUCAGUAAUUUUCAUUUGAUAUUUUGUUUGCUUCAUUACCUUAUAACAGGUUAAAAGUGCCUAUGAUAAGGACUUAUUAUUUCCUAAAGAAAAGCAAAAAAAGUGGGGAACAGGGUAGUGUUACAGUGUCAUCUCAGGUACUGCCUGUGUUUAAGAACAUGGAUGUGGUGCGGUGAGGAAAAUGGCUCCUGUGCCGUGUCCAGGCGGGUAUCACAGUCUGGCCCCCGCGAGCAGGGCUGCAGGGGUUCCUCCAGCUGAGGCGGCCGCGGGGAGGGCAGAACUGCCACUCGAUCUUUUCACCUGUGCUUUACUUGCAGUUCACUCUCCCCUGGGUCGUAUCAGCCGGCCUGCUCCCGUCCCCUCCCGUCCCCUCCCGUCCCCGUGGCAGGGGGCUGGGCGGGAGCAGCCAUCACAUGCAUAGUGCAGACCAAGCAUUCGUGGGCCUUCUCACGGUGAGGCGCGUGCCGAGGCCAGCUCUGUGGGCACUUAACCGGUACUCACUCGCUGGGUCUCCUGACAGACCCUCCAGCACGUCGGUACUCACGAGGCUCAAAGCAGAUGUUUUCCCUUGCAAAGAGGAAGGUGCUCAGACGGAUUCAUUAGCGGAGACGGCAGAGCUGGGAAUCCUUGGGGCUGGGAGAGGCCGGGCCAGCCGGCUGUGAAAGGAGAAGCUGAACCAGUAACAGUCGAAAGAGGGAAUGUGACUUCCGAGGGGAGAGGACCUGGGGGCACAAAGGUCAUGUUCUGGGUGCGCCCUGAGGCGGGCACUCCCCCUGGAUUGGUGCCAGUGGGACCACAAGGUGCUCUCCAGGCAGAUGCUGAGUCCCAGUGAGCUGGCGGCGGGGGCUCAGCCUGGGUCUACUCAGGGAAAGGACAGGUUCUCCCAGGUGCUGCGUGGCUGAGGAUGGGAGCAAAAUUACUUUGGGACACAAGCAACAACUGGAGGAGUUUUUGUAUAUGCACUGAAGUGGAUCUAAGAGCCCAGUUAAUAUUUCCUUUAAUGCCAGGACAGAGGAAAUGGUUUGUUUAGAAACCUGCAUUACGACAUGAGCACCCACGGGGAAAGCAAACUCCCCUCCUACCACUGAACAGGAGUGGGUAACAACCUGGCGAAGUCACGGAGAUAGAAACCCUUUUGAAAGCAAAAGCAGGGUCCACGUGAGCACACAGGAAGCCAAAGUUUGUCAGCGAGCUGAACUCUAAGACGGGACUGGGGAGGGGAGGUGGUGGGGAAACACCAGCUGAGAAAAGCAGCGAUGGCAUGUGCUUCUGAGCUACAUGGAUGUGUUGAUGAACACGGCCCCACGCAGGCCGUGAGGUGAGGCGAUGGGGCUGUGCAGGUGGGCGGACUUUUGUGUGGAGACUCAACAAUGUGCUACAAAUGUGAUACUUAAUUCCUGAACUACAUGUAUUGAGGAUUGUUUUUAAAAAACCAACUUUGAUUGACUCAAUAAAUUAACCGUUUUUUCACUUGCUGGCUUUUCGUGCUGUGAAUGGUGACUGAGAGGUGGGGACAGAAACUUGGCACCCCGUGCAAAGCUUGGGUAAAUCAAGACCCCUGGAGCCGACUCGCCUUCCGUUUGCCAAAAAGCAGCGCCGCCUGGCUGCGAUCCUUACAGAUGACCGUGUCAGACACAGUGGUGGCCCCCUCGGUGCAGCACUGGAUGCUGAUGCACAAUUUCUGUGCUGCUGCCCUUAGCGGGAAGAAAAACGCCCUGGGAAGUCCUGUUUUGCCUAAAUAAAGAUGUUGGUCACCCGCCUUCCCCAGAGGGCGACAAGCCCCUGCUCUACGGACCUUAAGCUUGUGUUUCCUGUCUCGGGGGAGAGGAGGGUAACCCUGGAACUGCAGGGAUGUUUGUGGUGGUUGCAGUAAUCUGCUCGGUGUGAAGACAGCGGGAAGCGUGUCGGCGAGGGGGCCUAUUGCUGGUUCUUGGUUCUUGCUUCUGAACUGCACCCCUCAGACACCUGCUUCUUGGGGCUGGCCUGUUUUCUCCCACAACUUGAGCCUUGGUGGCAGUGCUCUGCAUUUAGGAACGUCUCCCCACCCCGUUCCUUGCAGCCCUCGCGGGCAUGUGCUGCUGUUUGGCAGAUGGUGGUGUCUUUAAUUAAUGUUCUUUUUCUCCCCGGCUGGUCCCUCUGUGGAGUUGGAUGCUUGGAAGUCAGUUUCGGAAGCGCGGAAAGGCAAACUCAUUUCUUAGCCGUACGCACCACGUGGCCUCUCAAAUACUGAGCAGUAGAGCUCUUUUCCCCAAGAGUUCACGGACCGAUGUUCCUGUGGCCGCCCAGGUCUGUGGCGGUUCCUCUCACUUUUCCAUAAGCAGAACAAGAACCAAAUCAAACGUCUUAACGUGUGUAGAGAGAUCACGUGCCGUGAGCAGACACAAACGGUGGCGGGUUUGGCGAGCACGAACUAGACCAACUGAAGGGCAGCCCACCACCGUAUAUCAAACCUCACUUCCGAAUGUAAAAGGUUCCCACGCCUUUGGCUUCCAGUUGACUUCCUCCUGACCCAGAAAGCAUGGGAAAUGUGAAGGGUAUGCAAAAUGGUUGUUGGUUACUGUUGCUCCCCCGCGCCCCUGGACGCGUCCCGUGGCCGCCUGGUUUCCAGCAGACCACAGACUCCGCAGCGGGGGCGCGGGGGCUUAUAUGGCAUGAUGGGCAGUUACAUAUUAUAAUUUUAAAAGUAUAUAUUAUUGAAUAAAAGGUUUUAAAAGAAA